rnacentral:rRNA from 1 species
UACAGAGGUCCCGAGCGUUGUUCGGAUUCACUGGGCGUAAAGGGUGCGUAGGUGGCAUGGCAAGUUUGAUGUGAAAGCUCAGGGCUUAACCCUGAAAUGGCAUUGAAUACUGCUGUGCUGGAGGUUUGGAGGGGGGACUGGAAUUCUUGGUGUAGCAGUGAAAUGCGUAGAUAUCAAGAGGAACACCAGUGGCGAAGGCGGGUCUCUGGGCCGAUACUGACGCUGAGGAGCGAAAGCGUGGGGAGCGAACAGG